UGGGGAAUAUUGGACAAUGGGCGCAAGCCUGAUCCAGCCAUGCCGCGUGUGUGAAGAAGGCCUUUUGGUUGUAAAGCACUUUAAGCGAGGAGGAGGCUACUUGGAUUAAUACUCUAAGAUAGUGGACGUUACUCGCAGAAUAAGCACCGGCUAACUCUGUGCCAGCAGCCGCGGUAAUACAGAGGGUGCGAGCGUUAAUCGGAUUUACUGGGCGUAAAGCGUGCGUAGGCGGCUUCUUAAGUCGGAUGUGAAAUCCCUGAGCUUAACUUAGGAAUUGCAUUCGAUACUGGGAAGCUAGAGUAUGGGAGAGGAUGGUAGAAUUCCAGGUGUAGUGGUGAAAUGCGUAGAGAUCUGGAGGAAUACCGAUGGCGAAGGCAGCCAUCUGGCCUAAUACUGACGCUGAGGUACGAAAGCAUGGGGAGCAAACAGG
rnacentral:rRNA from 1 species